rnacentral:rRNA from 1 species
UACGAGGGGGGCAAAUGUUGUUCGGAAUCACUGGGCGUAAAGGGAGCGUAGGCGGGCUUCUAAGUUAGGUGUUUAAUCCCGGGGCCCAACCCCGGUCGUGCACUUAAAACUGGAAGUCUUGAAUAGUGGAGAGGUCAGUGGAAUUGGGGGUGUAGCGGUGGAAUGCGUAGAGAUCCCCAAGAACACCAGUUGCGAAGGCGGCUGACUGGACACAUAUUGACGCUGAGGCUCGAAAGCAUGGGGAUCAAACAGG